GUGGCUCAGUGGUAGGGCAUCUGCUUGGCAUGCAGAAGGUCCCAAGCUAAGUUCCUGGCAUUGCCA
rnacentral:tRNA from 1 species